GAGGGUAUAGCUCAAGUGGUAGAGCACAUGCUUAGUAUGCACAAGGUCCUGGGUUCAAUCCCCAGUCCCUCCU
rnacentral:tRNA from 1 species